UUUGAGGAUUUCAUCAAUCGCGUAUUAACAGUACGAGUCCCUCUGACCUCUUUUGUUUGAGCUAUUCCCUUGAUCAGAGCAAAAGUGAUCUAAUAAAUCAUGGUAUUAUGCAUCUAUGUCCUGAAGUCCAUUGCAUGUUUCUCUUUUCUUGCAGGCAUAGUUGGAAGAUAACACAAAUUUCUAAGCGUGCUUCUGUGGGACUUCUAUAAAGAUUGGUGCUAAUUCGUAGAGAUGAGGAAGAAAAUAAAAAUAACAGAUAUACACACUGGGCCACAGUCUGUCCUGGGGGACUGUGCUGUAAAGCCAAAGGGACUCCAUGAAGUAUGAAGCUGAUAGAAAAAAGAUUGCUCACUGAAGACAUGGGUUCUGAUAUUCUUACUUCGCUUUUACUGAAGAGAAUCACCUUGUUCUACAAACAGCUUCACUGA
rnacentral:lncRNA from 1 species